UACGGGGGGGGCAAGCGUUGUUCGGAAUUACUGGGCGUAAAGGGCUCGUAGGCGGCCAACUAAGUCAGACGUGAAAUCCCUCGGCUUAACCGGGGAACUGCAUCUGAUACUGGAUGGCUUGAGUUCGGGAGAGGGAUGCGGAAUUCCAGGUGUAGCGGUGAAAUGCGUAGAUAUCUGGAGGAACACCGGUGGCGAAGGCGGCAUCCUGGACCGACAUUGACGCUGAGGGGCGAAAGCCAGGGGAGCAAACGGG
rnacentral:rRNA from 1 species